UAAAUAAAUGAUGCACUAAUAAAAUAAAUAAUGGACCGUCCCUAGAGCAAGUGACAAAAGGUUUGGUGGUUGGUAUCCAAGACCCAAGUUCGAAUCUUAGUUGAUUUACAUUUUCAGCUAAGUUUAUUUCUAAAUAAAAUAAACGAAGCUGGUAGCGUACUACCUAUCUUUCAAAAAAAAAAAUAAAUGCAAUCUCCUAUUAUUCAAUAAUUUACACAAUAACCAAUAUAAAGUAAGU
rnacentral:lncRNA from 1 species